rnacentral:lncRNA from 1 species
CUAGCAUGGAGAUGGUGGAGAAGCUAUCUCUCACCACAAGACCACAUCCACAUCCUUACUACAUCCAAUGGUUCAACAACAGCGGCAAGGUGAAGGUAACACGUACUGUUCGUGUGCAUUUUAGUAUCUCUACAUAUGCUGAUUAUGUUGAUUGUGAUGUGGUACCUAUGCAAGCAUGUUCCUUAUUACUUGGUAGACCAUGGAAAUUUGAUAAAAAUUAUGUACACCAUGGUCGAAACAAUCAGUAUACUCUUGUUCAUAAGGAUAAAAAUAUUACUUUGCUUCCUAUGACUCCCGACUCCAUUUUGAAAGAUGAUAUUAAUAGAGCUAAUAAAGCAAAACAGGAGAAAAAUAAGAGUGAAAAUCAGAUUGUGGCAAAAGAAUUUGAGCAACAAAUGAAGCCUAAUAAUAAAUCAUGUAGUGUUGCUUCUGAAAUUAAAUUGAAAAGUGAAUGUUUACUUGCCACCCAAUUUGAUAUUGAUGAUAUAGAUUUCAGCAAAUCUGUUUGCUAUGCUUUUGUGUGCAAAGAGGCAUUAUUUUAUUUCGUGGAUGUACCUUGCUCUUUGCCUGGCAAACAUGGACUGAUGACUACUUGAUAGUUUAGUAUUCCAUGCUUUACGUCUUAGAACCAGGGCUCCAAAAGCAUUUUGAGCACCACAGAGCAUAUGAGAUGUUCCAAGAGCUAAAAUUGAUAUUUCAAGAUAAUGCCUGGGUUGAGAGAUAUGAAGUCUCCAACAAGUUCUAUCGCUGUAAGAUGGAGGAGAACAGUUUUGUCAGUGAACACAUACUCAAAAUGUUUGGGUAUCAUAACCACUUGUCUCAGCUGGGAAUUGAUCUACUAGUUGAGAGUGUUAUUGAAAGAGUUCUUCAGUCACUGCCACCAAGCUAUAAAGGCUUCGUGAUGAACUAUAAUGUGCAAGGGAUGACAAAAAACGAUUCCCGAGCUCUUUGCGAUGCUGAAAUCGGCAGAGGUAGAAAUCAUGAAGGAGCAUCAAGUGAGGAUGGUUAACAAGACCACUAGUUUCAAGAAAAAGGGAAAGGGAAAGAAAGGGAACUUCAAGAAGAACGACAAGCAAGUAGCCUCUCCCGUGAAGAAACCCAAAGCUGGACCCAAGCCUGAACCUGAGUGCUUCUAAUGCAAGUGAAAUGGUCACUAGAAGCGGAACUGCCCCAAAUAAUUGGCAGAUAAAAAUGAUGACAAAGUGAACAAAGGUAUAUUUGAUAUACAUGUUAUUGAUGUGUACCUUACUAAUGCUCGUAGUAGCGCCCGGGUAUUUGAUACUGGUUCGGUUGCUCAUAUUUAUAACUGGAAACAAGAGCUAUGGAAUAAAUGAAGAUUGGCUAAGGAUGAGGGGACGAUGCGCGUCAGGAAUGGUUCCAAGGUCGAUGUGAUCGCUGUCGACACACUACCUCUACAUCUACCUUCGGGAUUAGUUUUAGACCUCAAUAAUUGUUAUUUGGUGCCAGCGUUGAGCAUGAACAUUAUAUCUGGAUCUUUUUUAUUGCGAGAUGGUUAUUCAUUUAAGUCAGAGAAUAAUGGUUCUUCUAGAGUAAUAUCUUUUAUGGUCAUGCACCCUUGAUGAAUGGCCUAUUCCUGUUGAAUCUCGACCUAGUGAUACACAUAUUCAUAAUACUGAUGCCAAAAGAUGCAAAGUUGAUAAUGAUUGUGCAACAUACUUGUGGCACUGUUGUUUAGGUCAUAUUGGUGUAAAGCGCAUGAAGAAACUCCAUGAAUAUAUUUGAUAUACAUGUUAUUGAUGUGUACCUUACUAAUGCUCGUAGUAGCGCCCGGGUAUUUGAUAUUGGUUUGGUUGCUCAUAUUUAUAACUCGAAACAAGAGCUAUGGAAUAAACGAAAAUUGGCUAAGGACGAGGGGACGAUGCGCGUCAGGAAUGGUUCCAAGGUCGAUGUGAUCGCCGUCGACACACUACCUCUACAUCUACCUUCGGGAUUAGUUUUAGACCUCAAUAAUUGUUAUUUGGUGCCAGCAUUGAGCAUGAACAUGAUAUCUGGAUCUUGUUUAUUGCGAGAUGGUUAUUCAUUUAAGUCAGAGAAUAAUGGUUGUUCUAGAGUAAUAUCUUUUAUGGUCAUGCACCCUUGAUGAAUGGCCUAUUCCUGUUGAAUCUCGACCUAGUGAUACACAUAUUCAUAAUACUGAUGCCAAAAGAUGCAAAGUUGAUAAUGAUUGUGGAACAUACUUGUGGCACUGUCAUUUUGGUCAUAUUAGUGUAAAGCGCAUGAAGAAACUCCAUGAUGAGGACAUCAAUACCAUUGUUACACCCACAACUCCUGCUGCUAUACAUAUUGGACCAAUCACUAGAGCUCGCACACGCCAAUUGAAUUACCAGGUACUUUCAUUUCUUAGUAAUGAUUCUAACGUUCAUGAGAAUAUGAUGCUGCCUAAAUUGGAUACAUUUGUUCUGCUUACAAAUGAAGGUCCUAGCUUGGACAACAAAGAUGAACCUUGGAGCAAGUUCAAGCAUGGAGAUGAUGGCAUGCACAAGGGGAACAAGAAUGGAGUUACAAGUGAUGAUGCUAGGACUUUGAAGCCACCAUAAUGAGUGCAUGAAGCCUUGGACGAAAUAUACAACAUGCCACUUCAUAAAUUUCGUCCAGAGGCUAUUCUAGGUGCCGCGUCACCUUAUUUUUGGGCCAGGCCCAUGUAAUUUCGAAAUACUUGAUUAUAGGCUGUUUUUAGAGUCCGUAUGUGUGGGGAAUCAAGAGUUAGGGUUGGUUUCGGACCCCUCCUCCAAGUGCCACGAAAUUCCCCCUCUAUCCUCCAUAUAUACAGCCCUUAGGGCAUCAUUUAUACUUUGGGUUUUGUUUAGAUUAGAAGUUCGCCAUAGCUUCAACUUCGCGUACUUCGUUUGUGUCCACCGACCAGACCAAGACGUCACAGAACCCCACCUUCAUUAAUAAAGCUUUCCUCUUUUAUUCGCAAUAUCUAGAUUGUAAUCUCAGUUUCUUGCUUGUUCUUUGUUUGCUCAUGGGAAAUAGACCCUCGUGGUCAGGUUGAUCAUGCUCCGGCGUGGUCAAUAACCCCUCGGAAGUUGGUUUAGCGAUUGCUAAGGCGCGACGUCUUCGCACGUUCGUAGUCGGAUCAUCAAAGUCGACUUCCACAAAAAAUGAUAGCUAUCUCAUUGAAACAUCGGGACACCUUUGCCUCUAUCAAGUGGUAUCAGAUUUCCAGGUUGCUCGGCGAGAUUUUACAGUUUUUCGUAGUUUAGAUAGAGUCUGUUCUUCAUACCAACAGUCCACGAAAAAGCCAAAAAAAUUAGGGUUAGUUCAUCAUAUCCGAACCAAUCUGAGUCUUUGCAUAAUCUUUUUAGGGUUUUGCAUUGUUGAAUUUGUGGUUGCAUCGCCGUGUCUAGUUGCUGGUCUUUGUGUCUAGUCCUUUAGAGUUUCGAGUUCUCUUCACAAGUUGUCACACCGCCGCCGCACCAUCAUCAUCUCCGCUGCCAUACACCACCAUCGUCAUCGCCGUUGCCAUAUACCACAUAUCCACCGCCAUCACGAUAAUUCGAGUCCACCUCCAUCACAGAUUCGCCACCAGUCCGUGUUCCACCACCCUACAUAUAUCCGCCACCAGUCCGAGUUUUCACCAGUUUCAUCUCCGCCACCAGUCCGAGUCCAAUAUUUGUGUCUUUGUGUUUGAUUUCCAGAUCAUGCCAUACUCCGAGUCUUGACAGAUUAGGACUCCCCAAUUUCCAUGCCACCCGCAAUAGAAAAGUGUUUCUAGUUUCAAAAAAAAAUUAAGUCUGGAAAAUUCUGGCUAGGUAAUUUUUAGACCAUUUGUAGACUUCUUCAAAAAAAAUUUGUUGUGGAUCAAACAUAAAAGAGAGGAAAAAAGUGCAAAAAAGUGAAAAAGGAGAAAAAAAUUCAGAGUGUGCUCCUGCCUUGUUUACGUGCAGCGCUGUGCUUUUGUUAGUGUUCUAGGCUCGCGUCUCUAGCACGGUCUAGCCUAGGACCAGCACAGUACCGUCGUUGAGCAUUUAUUCAAUUUUGCAUCUCUUUAUUGAUUAUUGCUGACCCUUUUUUCUGCCAUAUUAUAAGCGUUCCCAGCUCCACAACGUCUACGUCAUGCGUUUGACUCUCCCUGGUAAUCUCUCUAUCCAAGCUUUGAGAGUUUUGACUACAACGGUUGCCGAUCACCAUCCGCCGCUUGGUAAGAACUGAUAAGAAUUUGAGAUCUGCUUGACGGAUUUGUGACACACUGCCACUUUCUAGUAGUCUGUAGGAUCAUAUUCUUGUGUGUUUAUAUUGCUGUAACCAUGGUAGGACCACAAGCCGACGAGAUUGAUUGGGAGAACAUGACGAAUAAGGAGCUUCAUGAUAAAUUUCAGCAAAUGUUGAGUCAACAGGUAGAAGACGUCAUGACCACCUUCGAAAAGGCACUAGAGAGGAUUGAUGACAUUGAGAAGACAAUUGACACCAAGUUGGACGCCAAGUUCGAUGAAGUACUCGCGCGUCUUCCACAACCACCGCCCGCUGCACCUGUCGCACCUCUACAUCAACAACAACACCACCAACAACAUCGCCUUCCAAAUCAAGUGGGACGAGCAUUGCGCGUUGCCCUUGAGCUUGGUCAAAAUUUUGGUGCCGAUGUACCUACUGUUGAUGCUUCUGUAGCUCCUGCUGCUACUCCAGAGGUGGAGGACCAUUACGAGGAUGAGGUUGAUCAAUAUCAGAACUACAUGCAACCACUAGCACCACCGCCACCAGGUCGUCCUCAUGCAUAUCAUCACAACGGUAGGGCUACUCCACCACCUGAGGUACGAGAUCAUGACCAUCUUCCUAAACUGAAAUUGAAUAUUCCACCAUUUGAGGGUAGAUGUGUUCCUGAUAUAUAUCUUACUUGGGAGUUAGAAACUGAACAACGUUUUAAAUGUUUACAAUAUCCCGAGGAGAGACGUGUUCCUGCUGCUGUUUGUCCUUUCACUAGUUUUGCAUGUGUUUGGUGGUCUGAACAUUGUAGAUUAUAUCCUAUUCCGGCUACUUGGGCUGCUUUGAAAAAUGCUAUGCGUACUCGCUGGGUUCCACCAUAUUAUCAACGUGAAUUGCUUCAAAAAUUGCAGCGUUUGAGACAAGGAAAAAAUUCUAUAGAAGAAAAUUAUCAGGAAUUACAAACUGGUAUGAUUAGAUGUGGUAUUGUUGAGGAUAAUGAAGCUAUGCUUGCACGUUUUAUGGGUGGAUUAAAUAAAGAGAUUCAGACCAUUCUAGAGUAUAAUGAAUAUAAUAAUAGCACUCAUUUAUUCCAUCUUGCUUGCAAAGCUGAACGUGAAGUGCACGAUCGACACGCAUUGGCGCGAACUAACUUUUCUGCUGGUCGACCUUCAUCAUGGACACCGUGUGCAUCCUCGACUUCCACAUGUUCUGCUGCAUGGCGCCUCCGUCAGCUGCCACCGCCAACCAUGAUACAAGAAAGUAGGCACAACCACCACUAUCUGCCAAGAGCACACCUUCGGGGCCUGCACAGAGCUCUUCUUCAUCCAUGACAUCAACAUGGCAAACACAUGAUAUUAUUUGUCGUUGUUGCAAGGGUGGAGGUCAUUAUGCGAGAGAAUUCCCAUCUAAGCGUGUGAUGAUUGUUACUGAGGAUGGUAGGUAUGAGUCCGCUAGUGACUAUGAUGAGGAGACUUUGGCUCUUAUUACAAGUGAAGAACACGGUGGAGAUGAUUCUGAUCAUGAGACACAAUAUAUGGCUUCUAAAGAUGCUGGCAGGUAUGAAUGUCUAGUUGCUCAACGUGUUUUGAGUGUGUAGGUUACACAAGCUGAGCAAAAUCAGAGGCAUAAUUUGUUCCACACAAAGGGAGUUGUGAAGGAACAUUCUGUUCGCGUCAUCAUAGAUGGAGGGAGCUGCAAUAACUUGGCUAGCAUGGAGAUGGUGGAGAAGCUAUCUCUCACCACAAGACCACAUCCACAUCCUUACUACAUCCAAUGGUUCAACAACAACGGCAAGGUUAAGGUAACACGUAUUGUUCGUGUGCAUUUUAGUAUCUCUACAUAUGUUGAUUAUGUUGAUUGGGAUGUGGUACCUAUGCAAGCAUGUUCCUUAUUACUUGGUAGACCAUGGCAAUUUGAUAAAAA